ACGAACGCUGGCGGCGUGCUUAACACAUGCCAGUCGAACGAAGAGCGAUGGAAGCUUGCUUCUAUCAAUCUUAGUGGCGAACGGGUGAGUAACGCGUAAUCAACCUGCCCUUCAGAGGGGGACAACAGUUGGAAACGACUGCUAAUACCGCAUACGAUCUAAUCUCGGCAUCGAGGAUAGAUGAAAGGUGGCCUCUACAUGUAAGCUAUCACUGAAGGAGGGGAUUGCGUCUGAUUAGCUAGUUGGAGGGGUAACGGCCCACCAAGGCGAUGAUCAGUAGCCGGUCUGAGAGGAUGAACGGCCACAUUGGGACUGAGACACGGCCCAGACUCCUACGGGAGGCAGCAGUGGGGAAUCUUCCGCAAUGGACGAAAGUCUGACGGAGCAACGCCGCGUGAGUGAUGACGGCCUUCGGGUUGUAAAGCUCUGUUAAUCGGGACGAAAGGCCUUCUUGCGAAUAGUGAGAAGGAUUGACGGUACCGGAAUAGAAAGCCACGGCUAACUACGUG
rnacentral:rRNA from 1 species